GAUUGUUUAUUUAAGGAGUUCUGCCUGGCAAAAAGAGACCUAAUGCAGUGAUUGGUAGAAUAAUCCUAUAGGCGGUCCUUAAUGCAUGUUGCUGAUGCCGGAAAGUUCUGGAAUUAAUCUUCUCGUCGUUAGCCAUUUUAAACUCGGUGAAACAAGAACAUGUGGAAAUGUGUCUGAUCAUCACAAUUGGAUCCUUGAUGUGCCAGUGGGGAUCUUAUUCAAGCACACCAAUCUUCAGCCCCCCAACUCCUUGCAUUUGAAUUCCU